rnacentral:misc_RNA from 1 species
GUAACGGCGAGUGAAGCGGCAACAGCUCAAAUUUGAAAUCUGGCUCCUUCGGGGCCCGAGUUGUAAUUUGCAGAGGAUGCUUCGGGUACGGGUUCCUUCCGAGUUCCCUGGAACGGGACGCCAUAGAGGGUGAGAGCCCCGUCUGGUAGGAAACCCAGCCCGUGUGAAGCUCCCUCGACGAGUCGAGUAGUUUGGGAAUGCUGCUCUAACGGGAGGUAUACUCCUUCCAAGGCUAAAUACCGGCUGGAGACCGAUAGCGCACAAGUAGAGUGAUCGAAAGAUGAAAAGCACUUUGAAAAGAGAGUCAAAUAGCACGUGAAAUUGUUGAAAGGGAAGCGCUCGCUACCAGACAUGGGUUCGGCGGUUCAACCGGGGCCACGCCCCGGGGCACUCCGCCGGCCCAGGCCAGCAUCAGCUUUCCGUCGGGGGCAAAGGCGUCGGGAAUGUGGCUCCCCUCCGGGGGAGUGUUAUAGCCCGGCGCGUCAUACCCUUCGGGGGGCUGAGGUACGCGCUUCUGCAAGGAUGCUGGCGUAAUGGUAGCUAGUGACCCGUCUUGAAACACGGACCAAGGAGUCAACCUUAUGUGCGAGUGCCCGGGCGUAAAACCCCAGCGCGGAAUGAAAGUGAACGUAGGUGAGAGCUUCGGCGCAUCACCGACCGAUCCUGAUGUCCUCGGACGGAUUUGAGUGAGAGCAUAUAGGGUUGGACCCGAAAGAAGAUGAACUAUGCGUGUGUAGGGUGAAGCCAGAGGAAACUCUGGUGGAGGCUCGCAGCGGUUCUGACGUGCAAAUCG